rnacentral:RNase_P_RNA from 2 species
AGGAGAGAGAGGGCGGCCGACGGUAGGACAUUGUCCGGCUGAGGAAGUUCCCUCCUCCACAGGGCAGAUGGGUCGGGAAAUCCGGCCGGGCGAGAGCUCGGGCAAGGGCUCAGAAACGACACAGCCGGGGCGCAGGAUGAUCUGUGGACAGUGACGUUGCCUUCGGAUAUGAUGAAACGGCGACACCCCAUCGGAGCAAGCCCGCACAGCCGGGAUGAUUGCCCAAGGACCGGCGGGUAGGGUGCAUUAGUUGAAUGCCGCCUGAAACAGAAGGGGGACUACUACUCUCACCU